rnacentral:rRNA from 1 species
GUCCACGCCCUAAACGAUGUCAACUGGUUGUUGGGAAUUUAUUUUCUCAGUAACGAAGCUAACGCGUGAAGUUGACCGCCUGGGGGAGUACGGCCGCAAGGUUAAAACUCAAAGGAAUUGACGGGGACCCGCACAAGCGGUGGAUGAUGUUCUUUAAUUCGAUGCAACGCGAAAAACCUUACCCACCUUUGACAUGUAUGGAAUCCUUUAGAAAUGAAGGAGUGCUCGAAAGAGAGCCAUAACACAGGUGCUGCAUGGCUGUCGU